GCGUGUCGGGGCGUGUUAGUGCGUGUUCAUGUGUGUCAGGGCAUGUCAUUGCACCACAACACGCGUGUCGGGGUGUGUCAAUGCGUGUCCGUGAGUGUUAGUGCGUGUUGAUGUGUGCCACUGUGUGUUAGUGCACCACAACACGUGUGUUGGGGCGUGUCAGUGCGUGUCAAUGCAUGUCAACGCGUGUUAGUGUGUGUUCAUGUGUGUCAGCGCGUGUUAGUGGACCACAACACGCAUGUCGGAGCGCGUCAAUGCAUGUCAGUGCAUGUCGGGGCGUGCCAAUGUGUGUUAAUGCAUCACAACACGCGUGUUGGGGCGUGUCAGGGCAUGCUGAUGUGUGUUAAUGUGUGUUGGUGUGUGUUAACACGUGUUAGUGCGUGUUGAUACGUGUCACUGUGUGUUAGUGCAUCACAACACGCGUGUCAGGACGUGUUGGGGUGUGUCAAUGCGUGUCAACGCAUGUGAAUGCAUGUCAAUGCGUGUCAAUGCGUGUCAAGGCGUGUCAAUGCAUCAACAUGCAUCUAUGUGUCCCAGCGUGUGUCAACGCGUGUCGGCACGUGUCAAUGCGUGUCAAUGCAUGUCAAUGCACGUGACUGCAUAUCAAUACACGUCAAAGCAUUUCAACGCAUGUCAAGGCACAUCUAUGUGUCCCAACGCGUGUCAACGUGUGUUGGUGCAUGUCAAUGCAUGUCAAUGCAUGUCAAUGCGUGUCAAUGUGUGUCAACGCGUGUCAGUGCGUGUCAAGGCAUGUCAAUGCGUGUCAAUGCGUGUCAAUGCGUGUCAACGCUUGUCAAUGCGUGUCAAUGCGUGUCAACGCUUGUCAAUGCGUGUCAACGCAUGUCAACGCAUGUCAAUGCAUGUCAACACGUGUCAACGCGUGUCAAUGCGUGUCAAUGCAUGUCAAUGCAUGUCAACGAGUGUCAACGCGUGUCAACGCGUGUCAAUGCGUGUCAACGCAUGUCAAUGCAUGUCAACUCGUGUCAACGCUUGUCAAUGCGUGUCAAUGCAUGUCAACACGUGUCAACGCUUGUCAACGCGUGUCAAUGCGUGUCAAGGCGUGUCAAUGCAUGUCAAUGUGUGUCAACACGAGUCAACGUGUCAAUGCGUGUCAAUGCAUGUCAAUGCGUGUCAACGCAUGUCAACGCAUGUCAACACAUGUCAACGUGCGUCAAUGCACGUCAACGCAUGUCUAUGCGUGUCAAUGCGUGUCAAUGUGUGUCAAUGCAUGUCAACACAUGUCAACGCGUGUCAAUGUGACUCAACGCGUGUCAAUGCGUGUCAACACGUGUCAACGCGUGUCAAGGCGUGUCAACGCGUGUCCCAGGUGCCCCCCCUGCCCCCCCCCCCUCACCAGGGUACCGCGGUGCCGCGGUGCUGCCGGGCGGCUGCUCCACGCUCUGCUCCUCC
rnacentral:lncRNA from 1 species